UACGUAGGGUGCGAGCGUUAAUCGGAAUUACUGGGCGUAAAGCGUGCGCAGGCGGUUUUUGUAAGUCUGUCGUGAAAUCCCCGGGCUCAACCUGGGAAUUGCGAUGGAGACUGCAAGGCUAGAAUCUGGCAGAGGGGGGUAGAAUUCCACGUGUAGCAGUGAAAUGCGUAGAGAUGUGGAGGAACACCGAUGGCGAAGGCAGCCCCCUGGGUCAAGAUUGACGCUCAUGCACGAAAGCGUGGGGAGCAAACGAGG
rnacentral:rRNA from 1 species